ACACAUUUCAUAACAAUAUAAGAACCGGUGUUUUGAGGUCGCCGCGUGUAGUUCGCAAUUAUCAUUUGUCGAGUGCACUUCGGCCUAGACACGGGUUUUUAUUUUGUUUAAUUAUACAGUCCGAGUAAAUCAGCCGAGAUGGUGGACGAGAGGAGUAGCUUGACAAAAGUAACCGGCAAGACCAAGGGAGUGUUUCGAAACGCCAAGUACGGGUCGACUAACGACCAGAAACAAGUCAUCGACACCAAACAGAAAUACCGGAAAUUAAAUGAAGAUGAUAUGUAUUAUAAUUAUGAGGCGGAUUUGAUGUUAGACUCAGUAAACCAUAGGUACAAGAAAAUCGUGUUCACAACAUAUGCCAUGGGCAUGGCUAUGACCAUUAUUGGAUGUUUAUUGGUACUUUGAGUAUAAUCUGAAAUUCAAAUAGAACUGUAUACGAACAAUUAUUAUAGUGUAAUAUGACGUCUAAGAAAAUUGUUGACAUUUAAUUUUAAAUUUUUUAGCGAUUUAGCAUACCUAUUAAAAUAUAAUAUGACAAUGUUUUUUAUGUAUUGGGUAAAACGAGCCAAGCGAGGUAUAUUCGUGAUACAUUAACAAAAUAUCUCAUUGUAUUUUUCAGUUUUGGUAAUUAUUAGACCUACGUAUUCCACGAACCCAAUGAAUGUACAUCAAUCGAUAGUAGCACAGGCACCACAGCUGGUAACAUUAGACACUUUACUUAUUUUGAGGUUCUUUAUAAAAGUAUAAAGAAUUAUACUUAAUAUAGUCUAUAUUACGAUUACCUAUAUCACGAAUAUGCCUCACUUUAGUCAUCAUAAUGAAAUAUUUUACGUUAUUCAAUACGUAACUUUUUUCUAUCUAGAUUGCCAAAAAAAAUUGUGUGAUUAAAAUAUUUUUCUACACUUGUUUCCUAAUAUUAUUUGUUCUUGCUAUGUGUCAUUUUUUUAAAAACUUUUGUUUAAAUCAUUAAAUUAAAUUUGAUUAUUUAUUAUAUAUAUUUUUUUAAUAAAUUGUAUUUAUUUUAUUUAUAACAUAUUUUAAUAGUUUGUUUUUUUGCUUUUGCUAAUUGCACUAAGUUAUAUAUUGAUGAUACCUAUAUUAUUUUAUUUUCAGUGCUUUGUUACGGUUUAUAGCCGCCUGGAAAUAAAAUAGUAACGCCUUCAUGAUUUAUGUUAGUAUAUGACGAUGGUGGGAAAAUAGUGGAACUAUUGAAAGUAUAAUUGAUGUGGGUAGUUCUUCAAUAAAAUUUAAUUUAAAAUAAAUUGAUUACUUACACACAAUCUGUCUCAAAAUAAUGUUAGCUCAGUGAAAUUGCUACAUUUACAUGGCACUAGUUAUAUUUAACAGUAUGUAUUGCUAGUUCUAUAUAGGUAAAACACUAUCAUUAUUGAUUAUUAAUUAAAAAGAUUGUGAACUAUUUUUGUUCGUACAAAAACCAUGAACUAAAAAUAAUAUUUAAAUGUAAACAUUAUUAUAAUAAUAUGCUGUAAAGAUUUAUUACUUAUAACCAAAAGUAAUAACAACAUAUAUAGGAAGGUAUGUGUUAUGAUUUUUUUUUGAAAUACAUUGUUAUGUAACAGUAUAUAAUAUUAUAAUAGGUAUGAUUUUACUCGUGUAUACGUUCAAAUUCUUGAAAUACAAAUUUAUUAGCAA
rnacentral:lncRNA from 1 species